AGAGUUUGAUCCUGGCUCAGGAUGAACGCUAGCGGCAGGCCUAAUACAUGCAAGUCGAACGGUUUUACAGCAAUGUAAGAUAGUGGCGCACGGGUGCGUAACACGUAUGGAACCUCCCUUAUAGACGGGGAUAGCCUUUGGAAACGGAGAUUAAUACCCGAUAGUAAUAUGAGAUGGCAUCAUUUUAUAUUUAAAGAUUUAUCGCUAUAAGUUGGUCAUGCGUCCAAUUAGUUAGUUGGCGGGGUAACGGCUCACCAAGACGAUGAUUGGUAGGGGAACUGAGAGGUUAAUCCCCCACACUGGCACUGAGAUACGGGCCAGACUCCUACGGGAGGCAGCAGUAGGGAAUAUUGGGCAAUGGAGGCAACUCUGACCCAGCCAUGCCGCGUGCAGGAUGAAGGCGUUAUGCGUUGUAAACUGCUUUUAUAUAGGAAGAAAUAGACCUUGCGAGGUAAGUUGACGGUACUAUAUGAAUAAGCACCGGCUAACUCCGUGCCAGCAGCCGCGGUAAUACGGAGGGUGCAAGCGUUGUCCGGAUUUAUUGGGUUUAAAGGGUGCGUAGGCGGUUUAUUAAGUCAGUGGUGAAAGACGGUCGCUCAACGAUUGCAGUGCCAUUGAUACUGAUAGACUUGAGUGGGAUUGAGGUAGCUGGAA
rnacentral:rRNA from 1 species